CCUACGGGAGACAGCAGUGGGGGAUAUUGCACAAUGGGGGGAACCCUGAUGCAGCGACGCCGCGUGGGUGAAGGAGUGCUUCGGCAUGUAAAGCUCUAUCGGCAGGGAAGAAGCAAGACGGUACCUGACUAAGAAGCCUCGUCUAACUACGUGCCAGCAGCCGCGGUAAUACGUAGGGGGCGAGCGUUAUCCGGAUUCACUGGGUGUAAAGGGAGCGUAGACGGCCAUGGAAGCCAGGGGUGAAAGCCCGGGGCGCAACCCCGGGACUGCCCUUGAAACUGCAUGGCUGGAGUGCGGGAGGGGCAGGCGGAAUUCCUGGUGUAGCGGUGAAAUGCGUAGAUAUCAGGAGGAACACCGGCGGCGAAGGCGGCCUGCUGGACCGCGACUGACGUUGAGGCUCGAAAGCGUGGGGAGCAAACAGGAUUAGAUACCCUAGUAGUC
rnacentral:rRNA from 1 species